AUUUAUUGUGUGUCACCAAAGUUAAGACUUUGAGAGCAAAAUUCCAACAACAUGGAACAGUAACAGUGGAAAAUAAGUCUCAUGAAUUGACCAGUGAUAAGUUUAGAGGGAAUAGCUAAAAAUGAGCUUUCCGCUAGGAAACAUUCCGUUUAUCAAGGCCACCCAAGGGAGAACCACUCAAUCUCGGUGUCAUCGAAAAUUUUGCAAGAUCGCAUGCUACGUUCUCUAUCAAAUCCAAAACCAUAAACCCAUCGAAUGAUUGUUAGCACCAUGAGGUAUGAAUGGGCUGCUGUAGGGAAGAACUCUCACAGUCUCACUGCUGUAGCCACGGCCAAUGCGUCGGCAGAGGAGGCGAAUCCGUUCCCUCCAAAACAAAAAUGGGGCACAAAAUAUUCGGGUUUAGGCUCGCUAGCUUGCUCUCUCUCUCUCUUUCUCUUGAAUGCGAUCCAAGAUGAAUGGCUGCAAAAUCCUCGCCUCCGCCUCCUUUGUCUGAUUUCCCACAUUCUCUUUCUACAAUCCCUGUCCCCAGUUUCUCUUCUUUAACCAAUUUUCUUUCACCCUGCCACCCAUCUCUCCUUCUCGAAUCAUGCCAAAGCACCAAACCAUGAAGGAGUUCAAGCAAAUCGACACCCACUUUAUCGUGUUUGGCCUCUGCAAUGACCCUUUCUCCUUGAGCCGAUUGAUCAAGUGCUUGGCGUCGCCAAAUUGUGGCUGGCUUAUGCGCUUUUGGGUGCUGGUACUCCAGCUGGCCACAUAUGUUCACGUAUGACACAUUGAUCAAGGCUUUCUCCAUGAGCCCAGAUCCACGCCGGUAUGUCGUCUUCCUCUACCACUUGUUGGUCGCAGGUAUGAUUCAGUAUCGUUGUAUAUUCCCUCCAUCGGCAAACGCUUGCAGCCACACACUCCCAAUUGGUGUUGGGAAGAAGAUCCAUGGUCAGGUGGUGAAGAAUGGGGGUUCAUACGACUAACUCUGUUCACAACUCUUUGUUUUGUAAUUUUGUUUGGGUGUUUUGGAUUGUGCUCGCCAACUGUUCGACGAAAUGUCUAAAGAGAUUUUUUUUUAAUGUAUUUCUGGAAAUAUGUAUUGUUUUCUGUUUUCAUAUUUACUUCCCUUCAGAGCUUUAGAGUUGUUUUUCAUCAUCUAUGCUGAAAUUUUAUCUUCACUAUGCAUUUUGAAUUUGAGAUUACAAACACAUAUCAAAAUGGGACGACGUUGGUGGCUCUUCUGCCUCUGCAACUGAUUAGUUGGGCUGAUGCAUUGGUCAGGUGGUCUAUUUUUGGUUUUGGUUGUUCUGAUUAAAAUCCAUUCAGGUCGUCCUUCUUUUUCCUGAACGUAUAUUCUUAGUUCUGGGCUCAAAUUCAAGUAUUGUAGGAACAUAUCCCAAUAUUCUGUAUGGGCUGCAUUCUAUGCCUUAGGAGCUUCUCUGAUAGAACUUUCUUCUCACGUUACAAUGGUUCUUCUGCUGGCUCCAGUUUAUUUCAAAAUUUGAAAUGGCAUAUUUGAGGAGCAUUGGAAGCUUGAUAACGCAGAGUGCAUCCAGAAAUGGAGUUCCCAGUGAACUAAAUCCAAUGAUCACUUAUGAUGCCUAUGCUUAAUGCAGUAUGCUAUGCAUAGUCUACAAAGCUAUUUCAUUAGAGGCAUAUGGGACCGAUGAUCAUUGAUCAAUCUGUCAGGGAUGCCUUCUCAGGUUCAUGGAAAUGUUACUGAGGGAUUGCGUUGAAUGUCUAACUGUACCUUAAGAUGCAUAGGUCUAGUCAUGCUGAGAAACAGCUGAAGAUCAUACCCAAUUGAAGAUCAUGCAACAAAUAAUUGCUUUAAAUGGUUCUCAACUUGGUGAAUGUGCAGAUGAAGAGUAGAGAAUGUAUUGACAUGUCUAUUGUGGGGUGUUCAGACAUCAGUAAUGAUAAGCACCAGUUUAUUAAUUUAGUUGCAUGUGGUCUUACUGGCCCUGUGCGGCAAUCAAUGUGAAGUUAAUGUGGUGCAAUGUAAGUUCACAUUUCCUUCUCUUUGGUAUAAUCCUUUGUUGGAUGACAACCAUUUUAGCAGCCAGUCUUAGAUAUAAAUUGUUAUUGUA